rnacentral:rRNA from 1 species
AUUGAACGCUGGCGGCAGGCUUAACACAUGCAAGUCGAGCGGUAGCACAGGGGAGCUUGCUCCCUGGGUGACGAGCGGCGGACGGGUGGGUAAUGUCUGGGAAACUGCCUGAUGGAGGGGGAUAACUACUGGAAACGGUAGCUAAUACCGCAUAACGUCGCAAGACCAAAGAGGGGGACCUUCGGGCCCCUUGCCAUCAGAUGUGCCCAGAUGGGAUUAGACUAGUAGGUGGGGUAACGGCUCACCUAGGCGACGAUCCCUAGCUGGUCUGAGAGGAUGACCCGCCACACUGGAACUGAGACACGGUCCAGACUCCUACGGGAGGCAGCAGUGGGGAAUAUUGCACAAUGGGCGCAAGCCUGGUGCAGCCAUGCCGCGUGUAUGAAGAAGGCCUUCGGGUUGUAAAGUACUUUCGGCGGGGAGGAAGGCGAUAAUGUUAAUAACCUUGUCUAUUGACGUUACCCGCAGAAGAAGCACCGGCUAAGUCCGUGCCAGCCGCCGCCGUAA